AACUCAAUACCUACCCCCCUCACGCCCAGGCAUGCACACUGGAGCGUUGACAACAUAAAUGGGGGCCCAACAUCGGUAACAAUAAUUGGGAUGGGCCUGGCUCUGAUACCAUGAUAAAUGGACCUUGGUCCCAACUCAACCCCAAAAGCUAGCUUAUGAGGUGAGGAUUGCCCAAAACCAUAUAAGGAUACCAAGGAGCUCAAAUCCCUCCGAUGUGGGACAACUCAACAUUAGCAGUACAAAAAUGACUGAUAAAGAAAAUAGUAGUAAAGAAACUAAAGAAAAGUGCCCAGGCCCAGAAUGCUCUUAAUAUUGACUCGUAGUUUACGAUAUGAAAUCUUUCGAGCAGUAUGAUCCUACUACACAGUAUUAUACGUUGAUAUAGAUAACUGGAGCGGCAGGAGACUGAACAAUAACAAAUCUCAACAAGCAAAUCCAGGACAGAAGCAAAUAGAAUGCCUUAGGGUAUGGCAAAACUGAAAUAGUUCUCAAAAUGUAAAAUUCAAAAUAUUUUGUUAAUUGAUCUUGGAUAGCUAGCAUACCCAGCUUCUAUGACAGGAAUAUCACUCUUUCGGCUACAUGAAACCUGAAAAAGAAAUAUGAAUUACAUUUGCAAAGAGAAAUCAUCAAUGACUUAAAAACAAGAACUUUUUGCAAUUCUAGAUAAAUAUACAGGUCUAGUCACAUGAAAGCAAAAAUGUCAGUUUUAUAUAAGCCAAGCUGGCCAUAGAAGCUGAACCUGCAAAAGACUCCACUUCCGAGUAGGAAACCCAGCUUGACAGAGUAAACUUCCAGUGGCAUUGUUCGUGGAUGAAGGGGAUGCAUAACACUUAAUCCACGCAGGGAAGUUUUCACCUUUUGUCAGCAAUGUAGCAAAGCCCAAAUGAUUGUUGUAAGCUAGGAGUAUAAUUUUUGAAGAAUACAUAAUAUAAUGUGCAAAGUCUGCCUAUUUGAGCUCCCCACAAACCAUAGCCAAUCUAAAUCUCAUAUAAAAAAGAUGGCUACAGCAGGUGACGGCAGCAUAAAUUUAUACUAACUAUGAUUAGCCUCUAAAUUCAGAGACUAAACAGGAUGAAAUGGAUUUCGGAUUGAGGUGUAAUUGAACGAUUGAUUGAUUGACCGAGUGUUGCACACUAUAGUAUUCCACGGUCUUAACGAGAUUUAAAACAUCUGUUUAAAAAGAUGAAAGAAAAUUUAUGCUUCUCAAUUGAGACUUAAAUACAUCAAUUGGCGCCAAAAUCAUUAUUGAGCACGGCAAUCGCCAAAACAGCAAAUACACUUCCAUAAUCGAAAAUUCAAAUGUUAAACACAGAAGAAUACAGCAACACUUAUGCGCCAAGCAGAAAUUGAUUCAAAAAUGGAAUCAAGAGUUCUCUCAGCUGAUCUAUAUGACUGACUAUAUGAGAUUGCUGUUGAAUUAAUAUAGAGUAAGUACUAAAUUAGAGCAGUAAAAUCCAGAAACUAUAAAACCUGAAAACGGAUAUCGGAGUUUCGCAAAGCUCGUCGAAAAUGAUGAAACCUCCAUCGGAGAAGCUCAGUCGCAAAUUUUCAUAGGCAAAUUACGCUGCUCGACUGAAACAUCCGGUUUGCUCAACUCCGGUGUAUCACACGCCUACCCUUGCGUGUCAAUCUCCCAGCUCCGGUUUGCUCAACUCCCUCCGUCGUUUAUGGGUUUUAUUUCUAACCAAUGGAUAGAAUCUCUCUAACUCUCGAGUUCGCCUGGAAAUAGAAAAAAACCUGAGUGUUCCCCUUUUUAGUUUAGUGAAUAAUAUUGAUUAG
rnacentral:lncRNA from 1 species